rnacentral:rRNA from 1 species
UACGGGGGGGGCAAGCGUUGUUCGGAAUUACUGGGCGUAAAGGGCGCGUAGGCGGCCAGCGCAAGUCAGUUGUGAAAUCUCCGGGCUUAACUCGGAACGGUCAACUGAUACUGCGCGGCUAGAGUGCAGAAGGGGCAACUGGAAUUCUCGGUGUAGCGGUGAAAUGCGUAGAUAUCGAGAGGAACACCUGCGGCGAAGGCGGGUUGCUGGGCCGACACUGACGCUGAUGCGCGAAAGCCAGGGGAGCGAACGGG